rnacentral:rRNA from 1 species
UACGGGGGGGGGCAAGCGUUGUUCGGAAUUACUGGGCGUAAAGGCUCGUAGGUGGCCAAUUAAGUCAGACGUGAAAUCCCCAGGCUCAACCUGGGAACUGCGUCUGAUACUGGUUGGCUUGAAUUCGGGAGAGGGAUGCAGAAUUCCAGGUGUAGCGGUGAAAUGCGUAGAUAUCUGGAGGAAUACCGGUGGCGAAGGCGGCAUCCUGGACCGACAUUGACGCUGAGGAGCGAAAGCUAGGGGAGCAAACGGGG